ACAAACAAAGAACUUUGUGUGCUGCACGCCCAGGCAUGGAUUGAAAGUCAUGAGAAAUUCAAGGAUGUCAUCUUUACCGACAAAACCACUGUUGCCUUUGACAAUUUGUGUAAAAUUGAUACAGAAAACCUGGUAGAACAUCAACCAAGCCGUCUCCCAAGCAUCCACUCAUACUCCAUGUGUGGGGGGCAAUUUCUCAUCAGGGACCAGGCCCUUACGUGAUUUUUUAAGACAAUGACCCAAAACACACUGCCGCACGGCACUGAAUCGCAAAUGCAUCGCAAACUGGGUUAAGAUGCAAGCUGAGUCGCCGGAUUUUGACAUUCAGUUUGGAGUUCAG